rnacentral:rRNA from 1 species
GAUGAACGCUGGCGGCGUGCCUAAUACAUGCAGGUCGAGCGAACGGACGAGAAGCUUGCUUUUCUGAUGUUAGCGGCGGACGGGUGAGUAACACGUGGAUAACCUACCUAUAAGACUGGGAUAACUUCGGGAAACCGGAGCUAAUACCGGAUAAUAUUUUGAACCGCAUGGUUCAAAAGUGAAAGACGGUCUUGCUGUCACUUAUAGAUGGAUCCGCGCUGCAUUAGCUAGUUGGUAAGGUAACGGCGUACCAAGGCAACGAUGCAUAGCCGACCUGAGAGGGUGAUCGGCCACACUGGAACUGAGACACGGUCCAGACUCCUACGGGAGGCAGCAGUAGGGAAUCUUCCGCAAUGGGCGAAAGCCUGACGGAGCAACGCCGCGUGAGUGAUGAAGGUCUUCGGAUCGUAAAACUCUGUUAUUAGGGAAGAACAUAUGUGUAAGUAACUGUGCACAUCUUGACGGUACCUAAUCAGAAAGCCACGGCUAACUACGUG